GGAUAACUACGGAAAAGCUGUAGCUAAUACUUGCUUUAGCGCUCUUGACUUCGUGUCUUGAGUGUGUACUUGUUAAGCCUUAUAAGAAAAAAGUUAUUAACUUAAGGAAUUAUAACAAAGAAGUAACACGUAAUGGAUCCAUCCAUUUUUAGUGUGUAUCAAUCGAGUUUCUGACCUAUCAGCUUUUGAUGUUAGGGUAUUGGCCUAACAUGGCUAUGACGGGUAACGGGGAAUUAGAGUUCGAUUCCGGCGAGGGAGCCUGAGAAAUAGCUACCACAUCUAAGGAAGGCAGCAGGCGCGUAAAUUACCCAAUUCUAAAGAAGAGAGGUAGUGACAAGAAAUAACAAUACAAGGCCAAUCUGGCUUUGUAAUUGGAAUGAUGGGAAUUUAAAACCUUCCCAAAAUACAAUUGGAGGGCAAGUCUGGUGCCAGCAGCCGCGGUAAUUCCAGCUCCAAUAGCGUAUAUUAAAAUUGUUGCAGUUAAAACGCUCGUAGUUGAAUUUCAAAGAAUCGAUAUUUUAAGUAACGCUUUUAGCUUAAAUCCACAUAACAGACACUUCGUGUCGACUUUGUGCGCAUUUUCGCUAAUAUGUGUUCUUUUAAUUAAAAUGAUUCUUUUUAAAUCUCUAAUAUUUGCUUCGGCAUUUUUGGGGAUUUGUUACUUUGAGUAAAUUAGAGUGUUCAAAGCAAACAGAUAUAGCAUUUGUGCGUUUGAAUACUACAGCAUGGAAUAACAAAAUUGAACAAGUCAAAAUUUUUGUUCUUUUUUCUUAUUUUGGCUUAGUUACGAUUAAUAGGAGUAGCUUGGGGGCAUUUGUAUUCAGAUGUCAGAGGUGAAAUUCUUAGAUUUUCUGGAGACAAACAACUGCGAAAGCAUUUGCCUAAAAUACUUCCAUUAAUCAAGAACGAAAGUUAAGGGAGUGAAGACGAUCAGAUACCGUCGUAAUCUUAACCAUAAACUAUGCCGACUAGGCUUUGGAUGAAAGAUUUUAAAAUAAGAGUUUUCCUUUCCCUUCGGGGUUAGGACUC
rnacentral:rRNA from 1 species